rnacentral:rRNA from 1 species
UGGGGAAUAUUGCACAAUGGAGGGAACUCUGAUGCAGCGACGCCGCGUGAGUGAUGAAGGAAUUCGUUUCGUAAAACUCUGUUCUAUGGGAAGAAAAGGACUGUACCAUAGGAGAAAGCUCCGGCUAAAUACGUGCCAGCAGCCGCGGUAAUACGUAUGGAGCGAGCGUUGUCCGGAAUUAUUGGGCGUGAAGGGUGCGCAGGCGGCUUUACAAGUUGGAUGUGAAAUAUUGUGGCUCAACCACAAACGUGCAUCCAAAACUGCAAAGCUUGAGUUAAGGAGAGGUAAGUGGAAUUCCUGGUGUAGCGGUGGAAUGCGUAGAUAUCAGGAGGAAUACCGGUGGCGAAGGCGACUUACUGGACUUAAACUGACGCUCAGGCACGAAAACGUGGGGAGCAAACAGG